UUAUAUGGAGAGUUUGAUCCUGGCUCAGGACGAACGCUGGCGGCGUGCCUAAUACAUGCAAGUCGAGCGGACGGAUGGGAGCUUGCUCCCAGACCGUCAGCGGCGGACGGGUGAGUAACACGUGGGCAACCUGCCUGUAAGACUGGGAUAACUCCGGGAAACCGGGGCUAA
rnacentral:rRNA from 1 species